rnacentral:rRNA from 1 species
CGAUCUGAUGGCGACCGGCGUACGGGUGAGUAACACGUAUGCAACCUGCCCCUGUCAGGGGGACAACCCGCCGAAAGGCGGGCUAAACCCGCGUACAUGCCACCGGGGCAUCCCGGAGGCAGGAAAGGCUUCGGCCGGACAGGGAUGGGCAUGCGGCGCAUUAGGCAGUAGGCGGGGUAACGGCCCACCUAACCGACGAUGCGUAGGGGUUCUGAGAGGAAGGUCCCCCACACUGGUACUGAGACACGGACCAGACUCCUACGGGAGGCAGCAG